ACAAGACUCGGUAUCGGUGGUGAAUACAAGAUCCAAGUAGGUGCUGUUGGCGUUCGGCAAAUCGCAAAUUUGCAUCAGUCCAGCUGACAGCAAACCAUCAACAAUGGCAGCUUCACUCUGAGAAGUAAUUCGAUCAGUUUGGCAGGUUGAAAUCCCCACAAACGACGACCGUAUCAUUCGGACCAGCGGCUUCAACCAUAGACUCAACAAAAACGACGAACGAAUCGUAACGACGAGUGUUAGAGCUCGGGCAAACUCCGUGCUGGCGAUUCGACGAUGGAUGGCAACAAGUGCACCACCACCAGUUAAUUUGUCACUGUUGACCGAACUUCGAUCGCAGCGGUAAACGGAAAAACAAGCGGGAAACAACAUACCAUCCUGUACGUCAGAGUCCAAGAUUUCUCACAGACGAACUAACGGUAUCACGACCAGCCUCAUCGAACGCGAAGGUGUAA